GUACAGUCGAUUUAAUUUUUUAAUUAUUUAAAGUAGGUUAAAUCCGGUUAUUAAUGCGAACAAUUUAGUAGAAUUUGUAAUUCAAUAGAUUAUUAAACGUGUUUUUUUUAAAUGUAUCUUCUGAUACAUUUACAUAUGAUGCACAAAUAAGUGCAUGUAAUAGCAUUAUCACUUACAUACAAACUCGGAUACAAGAUAAAUGCAUUGAUUUUGUACCCAACAGUUACACAGUCGAAUUGUAAUUUUACCGACUGUUUCCAACAUUUUUCUCUCGAACGGAUCGAUUCAUAAUAUAUUAGUAGUAGACGCUCCGACGUAUGUAGUAUAAUUAGAAUGCAUUUGAAUGUAUUUAACCCUCGAAAGCAACAAUCUUUUUGAUCUUUACUGUGGAUCUAUUCGUCGCGACAGAAUAAAUAUCUCGUAAUGCGAAAACAUUAAAAUCGAAUAGCUUCCGUUGAAAGGUUUAGAUUAAAAUUCUAAGAUUGUGGUCAAGUAGGAAACUAACCGAUGUAUCGUGUCAAAACAUGACAAUUAUCUUUCAUAUAAUCUGAGUUCAUAUUUUAUACUAUGAUAUGUUAGAACAUGAGAACCUCUAUUCUGUUCAUAACAACGAUAUUUUAUUUCGCUUGUUCAACUCCAUGAACGGAAUUCCAGUCUGACCAUACAUCAAAGUGCUAAAGUUGCAUUUCAGAGUUAUAGAUAGUUCUGUUGAAGUAAAUAUCUUCAAUGUUAAAUUAAAAAUAGAUCGCGAUCAACACGGAGAGUUAAACUGUAGAAGUCGAAUGAAAAUUGUGAUUCAGACGAUCAUGCAUUGAGAAUGAGAAAAAUAGCAGGUUGUUACUUCACAAGGCAACUGUUGUUCAAAUAAAUGUUAAUUUGGUCAGUAACUAGGUGCUGUACUUCGUUCGUUGGGACUACGAUCACGUAACGUGUAACGCCUAUUGUGAAAGGUUAUAUUUACAGCCUUCCUGUUUUUUUUCUCUACCUUUAAAAACUGCUGUAAGAAAUUAUCGUAUGUACACGUUACCAAUGACAAUUAUAAUUUCAUUCCGUUGCAGUGAUUAAAGGGUGGACAAUCGUGAUUCGCUAACGGGAUCUCAGCGACGUCUGAGUAGCGUCAAUUUGGAUCUCUUAAAACCGGAUGUGGUGUUAAGCGAGAAGAAUCGACAUCAAUUUAUCGAGAAAUUCAAAGCACGUAAAGCACCUAAAUUGGAGGAG